rnacentral:rRNA from 1 species
UACGGAAGGGGCAAGCGUUGUUCGGAAUCAUUGGGCGUAAAGGGCGCGUAGGUGGUUCUGUAUGUCUACCGUGAAAGCGUACAGCUCAACUGUAUUUUGUCGGUAGAAACUGCAGGACUUGAGGCUGGGAGGGGCUGGUGGAAUUCCCUGUGUAGCGGUGAAAUGCGUAGAGAUGGGGGAGAACACUCGUGGCGAAGGCGGCCAGCUAGACCAGUUCUGACACUGAGGCGCGACAGCGUGGGGAGCAAACAGG